UUCCAGACUUUGAUUAUGGCUCGGGAUGAACGCUAGCUACAGGCUUAACACAUGCAAGUCGAGGGGAAACGACAUCGAAAGCUUGCUUUUGAUGGGCGUCGACCGGCGCACGGGUGAGUAACGCGUAUCCAACCUGCCCAUCACUUGGGGAUAACCUUGCGAAAGUAAGACUAAUACCCAAUGAUAUCUCUAGAAGACAUCUGAAAGAGAUUAAAGAUUUAUCGGUGAUGGAUGGGGAUGCGUCUGAUUAGCUUGUUGGCGGGGUAACGGCCCACCAAGGCGACGAUCAGUAGGGGUUCUGAGAGGAAGGUCCCCCACAUUGGAACUGAGACACGGUCCAAACUCCUACGGGAGGCAGCAGUGAGGAAUAUUGGUCAAUGGACGAGAGUCUGAACCAGCCAAGUAGCGUGCAGGAUGACGGCCCUAUGGGUUGUAAACUGCUUUUAUAAGGGAAUAAAGUGAGAGUCGUGACUCUUUUGCAUGUACCUUAUGAAUAAGGACCGGCUAAUUCCGUGCCAGCAGCCGCGGUAAUACGGAAGGUCCGGGCGUUAUCCGGAUUUAUUGGGUUUAAAGGGAGCGUAGGCCGGAGAUUAAGCGUGUUGUGAAAUGUAGACGCUCAACGUCUGCACUGCAGCGCGAACUGGUUUCCUUGAGUACGCACAAAGUGGGCGGAAUUCGUGGUGUAGCGGUGAAAUGCUUAGAUAUCACGAAGAACUCCGAUUGCGAAGGCAGCUCACUGGAGCGCAACUGGCGCUGAAGCUCGAAAGUGCGGGUACCGAACAGGAUUAGAUACCCUGGUAGUCCGCACGGUAAACGAUGGAUGCCCGCUGUUGGUCUGAAUAGGUCAGCGGCCAAGCGAAAGCAUUAAGCAUCCCACCUGGGGAGUACGCCGGCAACGGUGCAACUCAAAUGAAUUGACGGA
rnacentral:rRNA from 1 species